rnacentral:rRNA from 1 species
GAGUUUGAUCGUGGCUCAGAUUGAACGCUGGCGGCAGGCCUAACACAUGCAAGUCGAGCGGAUGACGGGAGCUUGCUCCUUGAUUCAGCGGCGGACGGGUGAGUAAUGCCUAGGAAUCUGCCUGGUAGUGGGGGACAACGUUUCGAAAGGAACGCUAAUACCGCAUACGUCCUACGGGAGAAAGCAGGGGACCUUCGGGCCUUGCGCUAUCAGAUGAGCCUAGGUCGGAUUAGCUAGUUGGUGGGGUAAUGGCUCACCAAGGCGACGAUCCGUAACUGGUCUGAGAGGAUGAUCAGUCACACUGGAACUGAGACACGGUACAGACUCCUACGGGAGGCAGCAGUGGGGAAUAUUGGACAAUGGGCGAAAGCCUGAUCCAGCCAUGCCGCGUGUGUGAAGAAGGUCUUCGGAUUGUAAAGCACUUUAAGUUGGGAGGAAGGGCAGUAAGUUAAUACCUUGCUGUUUUGACGUUACCGACAGAAUAAGCACCGGCUAACUCUGUGCC